rnacentral:rRNA from 1 species
UACGUAGGGGGCGAGCGUUGUCCGGAUUCAUUGGGCGUAAAGAGCUCGUAGGCGGUUCGGUAAGUCGGGUGGGAAAUCUCCGUGCUCAACACGGAGCGGCCACCUGAUACUGCCGUGACUCGAGUCCGGUAGGGGAGUGUGGAAUUCCCGGUGUAGCGGUGAAAUGCGUAGAUAUCAGGAGGAACACCGAUGGCGAAGGCAGGUCUCUGGGCUGACACUGACGCUCAUGCACGAAAGCGUGGGGAGCAAACAGG